rnacentral:rRNA from 1 species
GAGUUUGAUCCUGGCUCAGAUUGAACGCUAGCGGCAGGCUUAAUACAUGCAAGUCGAGGGGCAGCACGGUUAGCAAUAACUGGUGGCGACCGGCGCACGGGUGCGUAACACGUAUACAAUCUACCUUAAACAGGGGGAUAGCCUUUCGAAAGAGAGAUUAAUACCCCGUAAUAAAUUGAACGGCAUCGUUUGAUUUUGAAAGCUCCGGCGGUUUGAGAUGAGUAUGCGUCUGAUUAGCUAGUUGGUGAGGUAACGGCUCACCAAGGCGACGAUCAGUAGGGGACCUGAGAGGACUAACCCCCACACUGGUACUGAGACACGGACCAGACUCCUACGGGAGGCAGCAGUAAGGAAUAUUGGUCAAUGGAGGCAACUCUGAACCAGCCAUGCCGCGUGCAGGAUGACGGCCCUAUGGGUUGUAAACUGCUUUUAUACAAGAGAAAACCCUGGUACGUGUACCAAGUUGAUAGUAUUGUAAGAAUAAGCAUCGGCUAACUUCGUG